GUAGGUGGCAAGCGUUGUCCGGAAUUAUUGGGGCGUAAAUCGCGCGCAGGCGGUUUUUAAGUCUGAUGUGAAAGCCCACGGGCUCAACCGUGGAGGGUCAUUGGAAACUGGAGAACUUGAGUACAGAAGAGGAAAGCGGAAUUCCACGUGUAGCGGUGAAAUGCGUAGAGAUGUGGAGGAACACCAGUGGCGAAGGCGGCUUUCUGGUCUGUAACUGACGCUGAGGCGCGAAAGCGUGGGGAGCAAACAGGAUUAGAUACCCUGGUAGUCCACGCCGUAAACGAUGAGUGCUAAGUGUUAGGGGGUUUCCGCCCCUUAGUGCUGCAGCUAACGCAUUAAGCACUCCGCCUGGGGAGUACGGCCGCAAAGGCUG
rnacentral:rRNA from 1 species